rnacentral:lncRNA from 1 species
ACAUCCUUAUGCUCUAAAAAAAAAUGAUGUUCUCAUCUGUAAAAGGAGAAAAGAAACUAUUUCAAGGUCUAUAAACAUGAGUGGAGACACAUGCUCAUAAACACAUCAAGUAUAUGCUUACAAAAGCUUUGGAAAACCAUGAGAAUGGGUGGAGAGUUUAAUGGAAGGGUGGAAGAGAAUAGAAUUUUGGAUAGAGAACCAAAAAGAAAUCAGAGAAAAACAGUCAAAAAUGUUUAAUUUGUUCAUUUCAUUGAUUCAUUCAAUAAUCAGCAUCAAAUAUUCAACUUUU